rnacentral:rRNA from 1 species
GUAGGGAAUAUUGGGCAAUGGAUGCAAGUCUGACCCAGCCAUCCCGCGUGCCGGAAGAAGGCCCUCAGGGUUGUAAACGGCUUUUGACGGUGAAGAAUCGACAGGAUGCGUCCUGUUUUGACGGUAGCCGUUGAAUAAGCACCGGCUAACUCCGUGCCAGCAGCCGCGGUAAUACGGAGGGUGCGAGCGUUGUCCGGAUUUAUUGGGUUUAAAGGGUGCGUAGGAUGGAAGGUCAGUCAGCGGUGAAAAGCUGUCGCUUAACGAUAGUCUUGCCGCAGAUACUUCCUUUCUUGGAUGAGGAGGAGGCCACUGGAACGGAUGGUGUAGCGGUGAAAUGCAUAGAUAUCAUCCAGAACACCGAUUGCGAAGGCAGGUGGCUGUACCUUAAUCGACGCUGAUGCACGAAAGCAUGGGGAGCAAACAGGAUUAGAAACCCUAGUAGUCC